ACCAAGGGUUGGACUUGAUGAUCUCGGAGGUCUUUUCCAACCCAAUCGAUUCUAUGAUUCUAUGAUUCUACCUCCCAACUCUCUUCCGAGUCCCAGUGAUCCUGUUUAUUUUUAAUAAGCCUCAAAGAUGUCAAAAUCGUAUAUCUGUGUGGGUUCUGACAUGACUUCACUGACUGAGUAAACCAGGAAACUGGUGCCUUCAUCCGGUCCCUUUUCCUCACACAGCAUGCCAGUGUUGUAAGUACUCCUUUCUUUGAAACUGUUGCCUCUGGCUGCCGUGGGCAGGGCAGCCAGCAGCGAACACAGCCGCCAGUAACCCUCUUGCAAUUGCACUGAUGCUCACUGCGCUGUAGCUAGGAGGCAGUAGGCAAAUGAUGGGGGAUAGAGUGAAAUGACUGCAGUUCCUGCUACUUCUUGUGUUCUAGCGGCUCCACUACAGUGUCUCAGCCUGUAGGGCAUGUCCUGUUCAAGGCCCCUGGUGUUUUUUACUUCCCUAAGGACAAGGCAUUUUCGGUGUCAGGUCUCCCAUCCCUCUGCAGCCUGACUGCCUUGACUCUCUUUGUCCCCACAGGGAGCAUAAGAGAGGGGCAUGCAAGAGAGAGAAAACAGAAGGUAGUUGCAACUGUAAAGAGAAAACAGAGCAUUGCCUCAAGCAAGAGUGACUAACUUUUAAGCAGAAAUAAUUAAACAGGAGUCUGGCAAGACUGGCAAAUUAUAUAACCAUUGAGGUGUACAUCCCAUGGCAUGUUGGAAUUGGGAGGAAUUCACCUCCUGUAAGACCCGCUGCUUUAGGCUGUGGGCAUAGCCUCAGUGAUUUUCUCCUUCAGAUAGGUUUCAUAGAACUGAGGCCUGGUAAGUCUUCGCUCUUUCAGUGCUGAUGAAAAACAAUGUUGCCCAUUACCAUUAAAAAUACCCACUAAAAGACUUCAGUGAUGUUACCCUAGGUGGUGGUCUUUUAUAUGCUGUUUGAGGAAACCACAAGUGGAGAAACUUUUCACAUGUGGUAUUGUGCUGUCGUGUGUUUCAGGGUUUUAUUUUUACUCAGAACACAUUAGUAGAAGUGUUGCACGGUGCAGCAAAAAUCCCUCACUCAGCACCCUUUGCAGUGAGUGAAUCCACGGGAGACAGACUUUGUCCAGGCAGAACUCUGCUGCAGCUUUAUUAAUCCAUUUAUAUACACAAUAAAAGUCUGAGCCAUCAAGCCAGGCCAGGUGUUGCUUAUCUGCAGACAUACCACACAGACACUCCCGUGGCCGCCUUCAGCCACGGAGAACAAUCAUACUUCAAGCAGCUUUCCAGCUUGACCUCGUGAUUCUUUUUACACACACACUAAUCUUAGCUCUUGCUAGCUCAGGACCACAAUAUUUUUGCUUUAAUAUUUUCUUCUUCUUCUAUCAUCCAGAUGGCUGGUAUUGUCUUGUUUAGCUGCUCCUACAGUGCAGAAGUGUCAACUUACAGGAUCAGGCUUGGGAUUCAACAGGCUCUUGUGUGCUUCAUCUCACCAUAAAAACACAGAAUAAGUCACCUAAACAGUAUACACAACUGGUGAAAAUAUAGUACAUGGUAACAAAAAUAGUUGGUAGAAUUUAAUGGCCUUCAGAACAAUUCUUGCACUCUGUGCAGUAUGUUUGGGGUCUGUACGUUAACAUUCCAUGUUCCUACUGUCUUUGUGCAUUCCUGGGCAGCAAAGACAAACUGAAUGUUGCAGUUUUGAGAUGAAGAAAACCAACGUGAUAAGAAAAAGGCUACUGAUGUAAGAGGCUGAUAGGCCUGUUCAUUGCUCUUAUUCGAUAUGGUCUUAAAUAGGAACCCAAGGGAUAUCUAGACCAGGAUAGAUAGGAAUCCAAAUAUGUAACUGAGCCUAAAAGUAUUUCAGAGUUGGCUGCUGUCUGGGCCCAGCAGGUGUUUGCUUUCUACAAAUUUAACUUCGCAGUCUUGAAAGACUCACAGGCCUGCUUAAUGAGCAGCUGCUAAUUAAAGGCUUCUUUGUGCUAGUUAGUUGGUGGUAGUGACUAUUCCUCUUCCCCUUAUUUCAUGCUUACCUGUUGGUUCAUAUUCCAGAACCCAGCCAUUUUCCCAGUUUCCAUUUCCGUUUCCAUUUUCAUUUCACUCUGGGUGUGAAUCUGUUCUUGAUACCACUGGCUUUGUGCUUAUACACAUCUAUUUUCUUUCAUUAAUAUCAAUAAUAAAUAAGACAGGAGCUAUUGUUGCAAUCCCUCUGGAAAGUUUGAAGUUUUAACGGGGAAAACAUUUUAACUAAAUGGCUUGGGAGGGAAAAGGCUGAUUCUUUACAACAGACAGUGUAAUUUAGUAGGCUUACAAUCACAUAAUUCAGUCUUAUUAAACUUUUUUCGGGUUUACUGGAACUGCAGAAUUUUUAAAGCAAAUAUAUGUACCUUUCCUUCUAUAGUAUGCAUUAUUAGUCUUGAAAGAUAAGCCUUGCAGGUAAUUAUUCUUUGAACUGUACAAGGUUUCUUCAGUUGUUUUGGUUUUUUUCUGCAAGCGGUAGAUCAGGGUAGGGACCAAGCAUGAUAUUAGUACAUUUGCUAUAGACUGAUACUCAUAAAACACAGGUCAUAGAUUUAAUCUAUGAAUUGAUUUUAUUUGCGCGGGUAGGAUUUGAGUUGAACUUUUUAUAGUCUUCAGGUGAAACAUGGUGGCUUUUCUGAUUUAACAAGGCCAAAUUAUUCCCCUUCUCUGUUCCUGUGCAACUUGGUAAAGGAGACAUUUAGUUGCUAUUUUUAAAGGGAGUGCCUUUGAACCACAGAGUGACUCCACAAAAAGUUGAUCUGGAAGUAGCAUUAAAAAUGUAAUUUGUAAUUCUUGGCUUGUACAUUCCCUAAGGAUCCAAGUUCUCAAGCAGUUUUUCAGGUAAUAUGAGAUCAGCAAACCUGUGACAACUUCAGUGACUAAAUUAGCAUUAGCAUUUUUUCUUUUUCUUAGAAGUCCUGCUGGCUGAAGGAGCUGAAGUAGUCUGAAUGCUGCAUAACAUUAUGAGUCCUGUUUGUAUCACAAUUGACCUGUAAAUACAGCUUCAAGUACUGGCAGUUUGUUAAACUUCUUUUACAGAAGGGGAAAAAAAUAUUGACAAUUGAAAACUAAAAAUAAAGGCUGACCAACUUAUAGGAAGAACUGAGUCCUUGUACUUCCCAGCCUUAAAUAACUCUUUCCAAACUACUUGCAAAAUUUAAUGCUAAACUCUGAAGUUUGGUGGUCUAUCAAAUCUUUGAUCUUUAGCUUUAAGGGAAAGAUGGUGAGGGUCAGCCUGUUCUGCCACACCUGCAGUGUGAGGACUGAAACUGAGACAGAGGAGAUUCAUAUUAGAUAUUAGAAAAAAAAAAAUCACUGUUAGGGUGGCAUUGGAAUAGGUUUCCCAGUGAGGUGAUGGACUCACCAUCUCUGGAGGUGCUUAAGCGACGUCUGGAUCUGGCGCUGGGUGAUAUGUUUUACUGGCUAAGGGGUUACAGUGGUAGUUCUGGGUUGAUGGUUGGACUGGGUGAUCUUAGAGGUCUCUUCCAACUUUGAUGACUCUAUGAUUCUGCAGUUACAAAGGUUUGAUGUUUUGAUAACUCUAGUAGAAAUCUAGUCAUCUUUGAGGGUAAAAUGUAUGUAGCUUUUAUAGGGUAAUUUAGUGUUUUAGAUAUCCAAACAUCUGAUUCUGUUGAGAGACUUCACCAGUGAAGCUUUUGUGAUAGAUUUAUUACCCAUUUUAGAAUUCUGCUUUUCUAUGUCUUUUGUUUUUCCUACCAGCAGGAGUAAAUCUGGGGAGAGAACAAGAGAGGAAGGUCGCACCUUUAUACUUUGAAAAACAGCAAUAGGUAUAAAUAAUUUGCUCUUUUUAUAAGCAAAUAUUUCCCUUUAGUUGGAACUUCAGUAAUCUGGUUUGCAUCAGGCAGAGGAGGAGGAGUGAAAGCAUCUACUUUUCAAAUCAUGCUUUCAUUUUUCUUGCAGUAUGUGCUUCAGCUUUCCAUCUCAUCCAAAAGGCUGUAGAUUGAAUCCAGGACUGGUCGGGAUUAAAUAAGCAACUGGUGGAACUUCAGCCUCUAGAAGCAGGGUGAGAGUUGGGCCACGAAAGUGGGAACAGUUCCGCUGUUACACCUGCUGCUGCAGCAGUAGCAGCCCUGUUCUCUGAGGUUGGUGAGUGAAGGGUUGACUCAGCUGCCCCCAACCACCCCUUCCAGCUGAAAGACAUCUCCAUAGCUGGCGUGGGGCUUCUGUCACUCCUCUCACUGUGCACUGGAACUGUAGAAAUGAAAACAAGCAGGCAGCGACCCACACAGCACUCUGCACUUUUUCCAGUCAGUUUGUAAAGCAAAAGGCCCAAAAAAGGCUCAUUGCCAUGUUUUUCCUUCCCUUCCUGAGUGUGUGUUUAUUAUGCCUGCAGAGGAGGCAGCGCUGAUGUUGCUGUGCGGAUCUUUUUUUCAGUCUAUUCAUGCAUUUUCUGUUUGGGAGGGUUGCUGUCCUUUGCUUCAGGUUUUCUCCUGAUGCCGAGAGGUACAGUCUGAAGUCAGUUUCUUGGAAGAGUUUUGGAGAGUCAGCACAAACUGCCCAUAAAAAACCAAGCGCUUUUAAGGGGAAGGGACAAGGCAAGAUAUGUGCUUUUUUCACGUCUUGCUGUGUCAUAAUUCAUAGAAUGUGGCUUCCGGGCUUGUAAUGCUUUUGGAUGUGAUUCCAAAGGCUACGUAAUAUAUAGUAAAUUCUUGUAGCAGUUUGGCCUGUUAUACUAUAGUGUUAUACUGUAUCAGCAUGGAAGAGAUCGCUACGACACCACAGUACUGAGAAAGGGCAAAGAAGGAAUCCCUACCUAACUAGAAAUAGUCCCUAAAGGAAUCUCCCUUUAAUGUUAAGAAUAUCACAGAUUUUAACUUUUUUUUUUUCACUGUUACGUAUUUAUGCAUGUGGUUUCCUCAGCAAUUUUCAUCUGAAAAUGCUUUGUGGAAAUACAAGCAGACAAGUGGUCUCACUGGGCCCUGCAGUGUUGCCCAAUAGUAGCUGAGGUGAGUCUGGCUCCUGUCAAACCAAUAAAUGAAAUCCAAAAUGAAUGAGCAUGUGAAUGAGGGUGAGAGCAUUAAAAUGCGUAGAAGGGAGAAUAAAUGGAAUAAAGGGGUAUUAAGUACCACUUUUGCACUAGUGAAACAAAAAUUUCCAUGUACUAACUGGUUCUUUAAACAAUUUUCCUCUAUAGAUAAAUGUCGGAUUGUCAUUGUUUAAUUAUAGUCUGUAGUGCAGACUGGAGGUGAAAGGAAGACUGAUUGUAUUUGGACUGAAGAGGAACAGAGGAUUGAACAGAGAAAUAAUAAAGGCAAAGAGUUUAUUUAAUCUGUGCUUGAUCUAGCUUCAUUGCAGUCAUAAUUAAGUCUGCAGUCUGUUCAGAAAAUAACUUACCUGAACAGAAAGGUUUAGGGUCAAUUAUCUGUUUUGCAGACAUUUUUCUGUCUCUGCUUUAUUUCUGUUGCAUUCAGUGGGACUUAGGUAAAUAAAUUCUCGGCUGUGAUGACUUGUGGAGAUUUCUGGCUGUAUUUUUAUUCCUUAUGGAGAAUGAAGGAAGAGAAUUUCUCCUGUAAGAGGACUGUAAAACUCUUAAAUGUUAAUGAGGAAGAGCACAUAAAAACUUCAAAUGUACCUGUAUUGCUUUCUGGUGACAUUGUAGAUGUGCACACAUUAGGUACUAAGCUCUCAGCUUCUCACAAUUUCAUCAAAAUAUGGAAUCAAAUACAUUAGAAACAUGGUAGGUAUGAGAAAAAGAAAGGUGGCAACUUAGUGUCAGACUAACAAUACAAACUCCAAAAAAAAAAAAGAAGAAAAAAAGGGCUCCAGAAAUUGUGAGGUUCAUUUUACAACUUGGCACACAGUUGUAAAGGUGCAUUACCUGCCUUUGUCAGGUGGGAAGCAUCAGUUAUGAUGCACCAGCUACAUCAAAUGAUGAAUCAUACUUAAAGCAUGUUGUUUGAUGUAUUUCCCAUUCCCCUAACACAGAUUUAUUUGAAAUUCUGUUUUAAGAUGCAUGUUGGGAUGUCUUUCACUAUUUUUUAAACCACAUUUCAAUGAAUGUUUGAAACUAUAAACACUUAAAAUGGAGAAAAACCAUGCAAAUGCUGACACGUGUUUUUUCCCCAUGGCAAGGCAGAAGACCUCAAAUAUACAAGAGAAAAAGAGUGCAAAAGAAGCCUCCCAAACCAGGGAACAAAGUACACAACACUGUUUCCAAGAUCAAGAUAUCCAGUAAAGCUUGCUGCAGAUUUUAUCACCUUGUUCUUGUACAGUUCCGUUUAUUUAAAACUUAAUUUUCUAAGAGAUGAAGUAGUUACCUAAGCAAUUUGUUAAAUAUACAGUAACUCAAACCACAGAAGUUAAGUCAGAUGAUCUCUCAGGGAUUUCUCUUAAGUACCAUUUCCUCUGCUGCAUGUCAAAGAAAGAAAAUAAACAGGGAAAGCUAAAAUUUUAAAGAAACAAAAAAAGCACAAAAGCAUUUGAACUGAACUGCCUGUAACAUCUGUAAUGGUUUUGAAACUAAAAUCCCAUUUAAUCCUAUAAAACCCACCUCUGUGGAAGUAAUGGGACUUGGUAAGUUUUAGCAAGAAGAAAAAAAAAUAUGAAGAAUCUUGCUUUUUAUUUUACUUAGAGGACUGUUUCAUAAGUGGAAAUUGCUGAGGUCAGGCUGGAACAGUCUGACAGCCUACAUCUGGGGCUAAGAGGAAGUGGGGAAAAUGUUGGCUGAAUAUCAAGAAAAGCAUGAAGUGCCAUUCUGAUGUCAGUUAGGCUGUGAUCAAUGACUUGCCAUAGCAAAGUAUUGCCUCCUGGAAAAUGGACACCCUUUUGGUUAGGAUGUUUGAAGUCUCAACUCCCACGGUACCAAAGCACGCUCAGUAGAAACAUUAGAAUGAGUAGGAAUAAGGAUUCAGCUGGGAAAAUAAUGAGUUGUACCGGUUAUAUAUAUGUUAAAGUAAUGUAGCAGCAACGUGCUCAAAGACACUGAAGGCAGCAGAAGCUGAAAGGGAAGGAGAUUCUUACAUCUCCACCACAGCUUACAAGAAAAUUAGGAGACAAGGAGAGAGUCCAAAAAUGAUGCUGUGCUGCACUUGGCUCUGUGGGAGUGUAUCUGUCUGUAACACCCCUCUGCAGUUCAUGGUCUCUACGGUAGAAAGUCGUCCUGCCAAGUGACAUAAAAUGAAAAUUGUGUGAGGUGCUAGUCUUCUUUUUUUUUUGUCUUAAUAGUUUAUGUAUGAACAUUGCACAUUUGACUUCUGCCUGUGGGGGGCCAGGGGGUUGACAUUGGCAAGAUGCCAGGUACCCAUGGAAACCACUCUAUCCCAUUCUCAUCUGGACAGGGGAGAGAAAAUUUAACUAAAGGCUUGUGUGCUGAAAUAAGGGCAGGGAGGGAUCACUCACCUGUUACCAGGACAGGCAAAAUAGGCUCGAUUUGGGGAAACAAGUUGAAUUUAUUACAAAUAAAAUCUAGAGUAGGAUAAUGAAAAAAUAAAAAUCUUGAAACACCUUCCCCCCACCCUUCUCUUCCUUCUCGACUUAACUUUACCCUUGAUUUUCUCUCCCUUCUCCCUCUGAGUGGUGCAGGGUAGCAGGGAAUGGGUUCUGUUCAUCACACAUGGUUUCUGCCCCUCCUUCUUCCUCACAGUCUUCCCUUGCACCAGGGUGGGGUCCUUCCCAUGGGAGACAAUCCUCACUUCUCCAACAUGAGUCCUUCCCAUAGGCUGCAGUUCUUCACAAAUUGCUCCAGCAUGGGUGCCUUCCAGGGGGUACUGUCCUUCAGGAACAGACUGCUCUAACGUGGGUCCCCUGUGGGGUCACAAGUCCUGCCAGGAAACCUGUUCCAACAUGGGUUUCCUCUCUUAAUGGGACCACAGGUCCUGCCAGGAGCCUGCUGCAGCGUGGGCUUCCCACAGAGUCACAGCCUCCUUCAGGUGCAUCCACCUUCUCCAGCAUGGAGUCCUCCAUGGGCUGCAGGGGCACAGCUGCCUCACCACGGGCUGCACCGUGGGCUGCAGGAGAAUCUCUGCUCCACGACCUUCCUUGCCCUUCCUUCUUCACUAACCCUGAUGUCUGCAGGGCUGUUGCUCUCCUGCGUCCUCACUCCUCUCCUCUCUGGCUGUGAUUGCUGCUGCACGGAGUUCUUCUCCCUUUCUUAAGUACAUUAUCCCAGAGGCAGUGCCAACAUCACUGAUGGGCUUGACCGUGGCCAGUGACGGGUCUGUCUUGGAGCUGGCUGGCACUGGCUCUGUUGGACACAGCUGAAGCUUCUGCUAUCUUAUCACAGAGGCCACCCCUGCAGCCCCUCCUCUACCAAAACCAUGCCAUGCAAAACCAAUACACUGUGCCCCUCAGGAGCUCUGUACAGAGCCAGUUUCCACAGAUGUUGUCAAGUACUGGCUGCGCACACCAUAUUAGCACAGGCUAUUUAAUCCCAGAUGGAUUCUGAAUGUACUGCCCCUGGAAGAAUAACAGCGAAGAAUCAUUUGCAGGGGCUCUGCUGAUGCUUCCACCAAGUUAAAUGUGAGGAAACUGAAUCCCACUUCCAUCAGUGGGAUUCCAUUUUUUUCACUCCAUAUGUUUCAGGUUCAUUCAACAGCUAUUCCAGGAAUGGGAAAGGGUUUCUUGCAAGUAUGAAGUUCCAGUUCUGCUUUCCUAUGUAAUUUUGGUCCCCAGCAAACUCUGACUUGGGUACAAUAGUCAGAACAGACUUAGACUGUGUACGGAAAAAUGUCUUUUUUCUCUAUCUUUUCUGUCCCUUGGCCACUAUCUGUCUUGAUCUUCCUCCCUCAAGACUUGUUAUUUUCUUGCUGUCUGAGAACCAAAAUUCUCCUUUUUGUCAAUAUACAGGGACCGAUGCUAACCAUGUACCAAAUAUCUCAGAUUAUUCUUUUUCAGUGAUUGAUGUUUUUUUCCACUCCUACUGAACUCUGAGAAGAGUUAACAGCAGCCUAUGCCAUGCCAGAUAGCUAUAUGUGGAACUUGCAGAUCACUGUGGAUAUCCUGAGUCCAUUAAAACCAGAAAGGCCAGUGCUUCUUGUUGCCUUAUCUUUACCCAUCAAUCUCAUAACAAGGAAGCAGAAAGGUGCUGUAUGGAAACACCAUUUUAAAACCCCUGUUUGUGUAGCCCUCACCCACACCAUUAGUUCUGCAACAGCAGGAGAGGACUUUCAGUAAGGAGUGUCUUACUUAGAGCAUGACUUUAUGUGAGAAUUCCAGCAGUGGCAUAGAAUUUGAACUGGGCAGCAUUUGAGCAAAUACAUGCUCUCACUUAUAUAAACAACCCGACUGAAUCCACUGCUUAAAAGCUUGCAGAGCUGGCAGUGUGCUUUAUAAGAACAGUUUGCCAAGGAAAUAAGGAACUUGGGAGCAAAUCUUUCCUGCCUUGUGUACAGAAGCAAUAUCAUGGAAUUCAUCUCCGCUCAUAGAGCAAGAAGAAUUUGGCAUAAUCUUCAAAGUGUGCCAAGCUCCUGUUUGCACUGGGUGCCUUUGGGUAUGUAGUUACCUAAAAGCAAUACAGAAAUCAAUAGAAAGAAUGUGUAACCACUCAUUUAAUUUCUGGAGCCAUUUGAAAUCUUUACCCUGGAAAAUAUCUGUAUAGAUCUUCGCCAUGGUGACUGAUUUCUUUUCAAAGAAAAUAGCUCUGUGGCUCAUGUCUUGUGUGUUUUGUCUCUGCUGACAAUGAGGCUGUUAUCUAAGAAGUGUACCUAGUGCAGUUAAAUAUAUACAUGUGUGUGUGUGUGUGUGUGUGUGAUGGUAACAGUCCAAAAAGAUUUAGUCAUAGAACCAGCUGUAGAGAGCAUCAAACCUUCAGACCUUCAAACCUGCACUUGCACAUGACAUUUUGGUAAGGAGUAACAAAAUUGCCAAAGAAACUUCUUAAAGCUUCACAUUACUGAAUGCUUGCACAGCUGUGCAGUUGUGGACAUGCUGCUGCAAAAAGCCAAAUUAGAUGGUGCAUCAAGUGUUUUCACUUCAUUUUUUAUGCUCAUCUUCAUGCCUUUACAUAUGGUAUAUUAAUGCUUUAACAGGUCCUAAGGGGUAAUUGGAACAAUAUGUUUGAUUUUUUGAACUGCACAUUUGACACAAUAAAGUGUUCUAGUUUUCUGUCCAUCUGUGUACCUGAACAUCCUCAGAUAACCUUAGGUGAACAGAAGCACAUCAAACACAAACACCAACACACAGCUGCUUUAUGGCUUUCAUCUGUGCUCUUGGCUCCUUUCAGGAAAGAGAGGAAGCUAGACACAUGAAUGGAGAAUUGAUCCUUGGCAUUCUAGUCAAAAACCUGACUCCGUAUUUUAGAAUUGCCUUCUCAGAGCUCCAAAUGGCAGACAGUGUUCUGGCCUAUUUCCAGCUGACCCUAAGGAGCCUAAUGAAUGAAAUCAGGUGAGGGGCAAGCAAGUCAGUCUCUGGGGCCCUGCUUGGAGAGGUGCAUGGAAUGGGAUCAAGGAGGGCUAGUUGUACUCACACUCACCCACAGCUGCUGUUACUGGCACUUAGGAGUAUGUUGUGCAGGACUUGGUAGUGCUGCACUUUUUAGUGUCCUAACCUUCUUGCACAGCAAUCCCCAGCCCCCAGACCAGUCACAAUUUCAACAUCCCAAACAGUGAUACUGCCUUGAUAGCCUCUCCCAUAAUCUAGCAGGCAGGACUGGAUCCUCCCAGCAUCAUCGAGCACCCUGGUCGGUAGCUGACCCCUGGCCCUGUUAGAGAGGGGUGUUGGCAGUGACCAGCCCCAGGCAUGGCCAUUCUCAGUGUCUGAGCACUGACAGAGGGAGGAGGUACUGGGAAAGGCAUGGCAGGUGACAGGGGGUUUGUGGGAGGCAGACAUCGACCCGACAUGCAGAGCUGGGUAAGACAAAAAUUGCAGAGGAUUUCUGGAAAGAUCAAAACGCUUCUCAACAGCUGCCUCUGAAGACCUGGAAAUCCACAGAAAUUUUGUAAUUCCCUUCAGCUUCCUGCUUGGAGUUUCCUUUACCAGUUAAGCCAGGUGAGCGGCAGCAAGCUGAGGAACAGCUAGGAAAAGCUGAUGUUACUGACCACAGAAACUCUUCCUUAUUUUCUCUCCUUUAGCCGAAGAAUUUAAAAUGAUCCGUCAGCUGUACACCCAUACAGCCUUCUCUCACUGAAAAUCUGUCAGCAACAGCUGUAGGAACAGGAGCACGGUAAAACUGAGCAGCGUCGGGAGCACGUUUGCAUCCACAGCACACAAGCAGCAGAGUGUGCACUUAGUACAGUGGCUGUACAGAGUAACCAGAGAUUGCACUGCUAUUCACCUGAGUACCCUGCAUAAGGUCAGGAUAAAGGGGUGGGGUGAAAGCUGGUCCGUGGGACAAGUGAGUAAGAGUCAUCAGCAGCUAUGGACUUGACCACAUGAAAGAGGACACUGGAACAGAAUGUACAACACGAAUAGCCAAAGAAGCAGAACAGCACCUGCUCACAGCUGGCCACAAGCAGACCUGUGAAAGGGAACUAGGAGAAAGGUGGUACAGUGGCACUGCAGAGUUUCCUUAGGGGGAAAUUUCUCAUCCUUAGUGGAAUCAAGAGCUUGGCCCUCUGGGGUACAGGGUAAGUCUAUCUGUUUAAAACCCUUCCCUUCAGCAUGCCCUAAAGGACCUGCUCAUGCACCUGGACAGCCUUCUCUGUGUGGAGACAUAUCUGCAGAGGCAGUUCUCAUUUCUCACCUCUAAACUAAUUUGUACCUGAAGAGGAAGCUGUAUAAAAUGACAUGGGGUUUUUUUUGCUAGUUUGGUGAGAAGAAAACACCUCCCUUUUCCUCUUGACCUGGCCUUCCCAUGACAUGUCCACAGAUCUAAGACCAGGACAAAAGGCCUGGAGGAAAGGCAAGGGUCUGGGAAUUGGGGUAAUGUUGUGGAGGUCAAGUCCUUUUUUCACAUUGUGUAUCUGAUGUGGAUGUAACAAUACUGUCAGGGGAGAAAGGUCCUGCUCAUACUUCUCAUGGGUCUUCAGUCCUUAAGGUCACAUCCUUGUUAUUCUUGUACAAAUAACUAUACCUUGUCUUAUUCAUCUUGUAAUGCCCAGUUUUAGAACCCUGCCCCCUUACAUAAGGAGGCUGGUACCUUUGUAUGUGAUUUGCAUGUUUGUGUAUACACUCACCAACAUAUCUCACGCAUAAAAUAUCUUGGUAACAGCAGUAUUGUCAUCUUGUCAUACAUUAGGCUUGAUAAGGUUACUUCCAAGUGGCUUUUUGCAGUGAAACAGUAGUAUUUUUAGGGCUUUGUAUCCGGAAUAGGGAAUCUGGGAGCUGAAGAAUACAUCUGCAGGCACCAAAAACUGUUCCAAUUUUUCUGCUUCCUACGGCAGUAUUUUUUGUUAGAAAUCGCUCAUUAAAGUUGAUCCAGUGAGAUAUGGUGCAAUGCUGCAAUUCCCUGAUGAAUUACAUACAGCAUCACUGUGGUACUACAAAAUAAAUAUUUCACAUUGAAAACACUUUCUGAGCAAUAAUCAUCUGGCAGACAUGCACUAUCCAUGACAGAGCUGGGGAGAAUUUGCUGGUGCCCACAACAGGAUAGCAAAGACUAUACAAAAAAAUUGCUAUAAGUUAAUACAUCAACUUAAUAGUUAUUGUGUGUGCUGUUUGAUGCUGUAUGCUUCUGCAACAUAGAUAAAAGGAAAAAACACAGCCUGUUUGCCUUCAACUUGUCCUAAAAUAAGCUCUGAAAAUUAUGAUUAUGUUAUUAAUAAAAUGCUUAGAUUAUGGUA